GACGAACGCUGGCGGCGUGCUUAACACAUGCAAGUCGAACGGAAAGGCCCUGCUUUUGUGGCGUGCUCGAGUGGCGAACGGGUGAGUAACACGUGAGUAACCUGCCCUUGACUUUGGGAUAACUUCAGGAAACUGGGGCUAAUACCGGAUAGGAGCUCCUGCUGCAUGGUGGGGGCUGGAAAGUUUCGGCGGUUGGGGAUGGACUCGCGGCUUAUCAGCUUGUUGGUGGGGUAGUGGCUUACCAAGGCUUUGGCGGGUAGCCGGCCUGAGAGGGUGACCGGCCACAUUGGGAGUGAGGUAAGGACCAGACUACUACGGGAGGAAGCAGUGGGGAAGAUUGCUCAAUGGGGGGAAGCCUGAUGCAGCAACGCCGCGUGCGGGAGGACGGCCUUCGGGUUGUAAACCGCUUUCGCCUGUGACGAAGCGUGAGUGACGGUAAUGGGUAAAGAAGCACCGGCUAACUACGUG
rnacentral:rRNA from 1 species